AAUAUGAUAUGCUAAAAUUAGACUUUGCAAAAUAACUUAAUUUAAAACGAUGCAUGCAUCCUACGUGUGUGUGCUCAAAUUAUUCUUGGUCUCUUCUUAAGGAAAUUUCUGGAUUCUCGUACACUAAAACUCGUAUCAGCCUCAGCUCGGGGAAAAAAUAUUUAAUUAGCUGACCUAAAAUAUCUUAAAACAUUUGUAGUCGAAGAAUACUAUUUUAGAGGCCCAAUACUAAAAAGUGGCCCAACUACCUAAGACUAAUAAUAAGGAAAAUAAAAGAGUAAACAUUUACUCCCUAACAUUCAUCGGCCUUGUACAAAUUGGAGUACAUUAUUCAAAGAUUUGAAAAUACAUAUUCAAACAAAAUUGAGAACAGUCAUAACGUCAAAGUUUCUCUCUCUCCUUUAUGUCAAAAUUGAAAUCCCCAAAUUAGAAAAACUAGCCCUUCUUUUUCUUUCUUCCUCUCCAGCCUCACGCCGCCGCCCUCUCUCUCCCGAUCUGCCGCCGCCUCCGCCGCGGAUCCGCCUCCGUCGCCUCCUUCCUCUCCCCCUCCUUUCUCUCCAUCGGCUCCCUCUUUCUCUCCCGGAUCUGCCGCUGCCGCCGCCACUGUGCAUGCACAGGCGGUGGCUUCGGCCUCCUCCGCGCCUCGUGCUGCCCGAGCAGCUUCCCGGCGCCACUCCAGCUGCAGCCUUCUCGCCGAACUCCGAAUGGUCCUUAAGGCUGCGAUUUUAGUGAUGGAUUUGGGGGGUGGGGGCUGUCACCGUCGACUUCCGGGCUGCCGAAGAGCACAGAAACGUACUCACGAGAUAAGUUUUCCAACUAAGUGAUUAUUAUUAGUUGUAGGACUAAUUUGUCUAUUUUAUAAAUUUGGUGAAUUUUGAACAAUCGUGUCUACUGGGAAGACUUAAUGGUGAAACAAGUUAAUCUUGAUGUUUAUUGUUAACAUUUGGGCAGAUUCUACUUCCAACUACAUAUAUGCAUGCUUGUACAUAUAUGAAUGAAAAGGAAGGUUUGGGGUUUACCUUUUGAGGUGGAAUAAAGUUUUGUUGGAUUGUAGUGCUUGACUCUACAAUUACCUGCAACUCUGCAACUCUCCCUCCUGUGUUCUAUGUGGAAUUCUUUUUGGAAAGUUUGAUUGUGAGGUGGGUGAGACAAAAAGAUUUGUAUAUACAUACAUAUACAUAAAAGAUGCAAGUGGUGUAUCUUGCAAGAAUGAGAUGCAAGUGUCGUAUCUCUCAAGAAUGAGACGCAAGUGGCGUGUAUUUUUCAAAUAUUCUGUCAGAGGAUGAUGAUUUCUAUCUGCAAUCCAUUAAUGCAGCAAUAAAUGCUGUUGAUAACAAUUAUCCUCUCAAGAUCUGCCUUUUUGUAUUUUAUUAUUUUAUUUAUUUAUUUAUUUAAUUAUUUGAGUAUCUAAUUUGGUGCAGGUAUAAUCGGUUCAAGUUCGUGGCUGUCCGCGUUGAAGUACCCUAUUUUCUUAGAACCCAAGAAGUAUAAAUUAAAUUUUGUUGGACUUUUGUUGGAUGUACCGGACAUUAAAAUUUUGAUUAUAGGACAUAAUUCUUUUAGUAUA